rnacentral:lncRNA from 1 species
UUAAAGUCAUAAGAAACCUCAAAUUAAAAAAAAUAAUGCAUAUAUGUUUUUAUAAACUCAAUGGAUAGUUUUCAUUAUUAAACUUAUGUACAUAUACUUUUUUCUGAAGAAAAUUCUUUAAUUUGUUCAUAUUAAGAAGAAGUUUACAUUAUUCUAAUUGUUUCCUUCCAGGAAGCAAUUCCCCGACAUAUUUUCCGUAUGCAAAGUGACCUCCGUGUGACCCAUCUCGUAAAAAUCCGGUGAUCGCAGUAUGCGUGGAUGUCCUUAAAAUAAACUAUUACCCGAUUGUACAUGUUAAAAACGUGCUCAAUAUCCAUGCUUUUUGGUGGAUUGUUGACAAACAGGUGACAAUCGUUAAACUUCGGCUUCAAAACACGAACUUUAAUUACCUGCUAUAUUUUCACAAGACUAACCGAUUGAAAAAAAAUUGACGAUUAUACGAAAUUUAUGCGAAAAAAAUGAUAAAAUCGUGCACAGAAGACUUAAGUUUAUGACGGUUGUAUGCAUUGGUUCAAGAAUUGGAAUAACAUUAUUUUUCACCGGUCACUUGUUUAUUAUGACUUUAAAUAGAAUUACAGAAUCUAAAAAAGUCUGAGCCUCACGCUCGCCAGCAUGCUUACUUCGUUUAAUGUUCCAGUUUUGUAAGAUCCAUAAUUCAUUGCAAUUUAAUACAACAUUUUUUGGUAAGGGCUGUUUGACUGAUCCUCGAGAACGGAUAAUUACAUUGUUUUCGAUUUUUCUUUUUGUUUUUUUUUUUGUUCACUUCCAAUAAAUUUUAAAUAUAUGCUCCAAAAUAGAUGAUAGAUAGGCAUUUUUUUAUAUUUUGUUUGACAGUUUGGGCUUAUCAAUGUCUUUUCUCUCUUAAAUCUAUUUUUACAAUUUACUACUGGUACAUCAAUUAGAUAUCAGUACCGGUACCACAUAUCUACUAAACCAAAUACAUGUAUAACCCACAUGUUAUGUCAUCCUAUCUACUAUUUAUUAUCUUAGAUAUCAAAAGUUUAACAAAGAAAGUAACCCCCCCCCUGUUUGGUUUUAAACAGACAUUAGUUAAAAUAUUGAUAUUCAGGAAUGUAUCAUUUGUGCAGUACAGUAGUACAAUGACAGAUUUGGGAGGAGGGGUGUAUUGUUGUCAUACAUAUGUCAUUGGUCCAGACAAAUCAUUUAUCGUGUCAAAAUCAUGAUACAGAAGGAAAUUUCCAGAUGCACGAUCAGAAUUUUACAGAAAAUAUUU